UUGAAGAGUUUGAUCAUGGCUCAGAUUGAACGCUGGCGGCAGGCCUAACACAUGCAAGUCGAACGGUAACAGGAAGCAGCUUGCUGCUUCGCUGACGAGUGGCGGACGGGUGAGUAAUGUCUGGGAAACUGCCUGAUGGAGGGGGAUAACUACUGGAAACGGUGGCUAAUACCGCAUAACGUCGCAAGACCAAAGAGGGGGACCUUCGGGCCUCUUGCCAUCAGAUGUGCCCAGAUGGGAUUAGCUAGUUGGUGAGGUAACGGCUCACCAAGGCGACGAUCCCUAGCUGGUCUGAGAGGAUGACCAGCCACACUGGAACUGAGACACGGUCCAGAC
rnacentral:rRNA from 1 species